rnacentral:rRNA from 1 species
AUUGAACGCUGGCGGAAUGCUUACACAUGCAAGUCGAACGGCAGCACGGGGCAACCUGGUGGCGAGUGGCGAACGGGUGAGUAAUACAUCGGAACGUGCCCAGUCGUGGGGGAUAACGUAGCGAAAGUUACGCUAAUACCGCAUACGAUCUAUGGAUGAAAGCGGGGGAUCGCAAGACCUCGCGCGAUUGGAGCGGCCGAUGUCAGAUUAGGGAGUUGGUGGGGUAAAGGCCUACCAAGCCGACGAUCUGUAGCUGGUCUGAGAGGACGACCAGCCACACUGGGACUGGGACCCGGGCCAGACUCCUACGGGAGGCAGCAGUGGGGAAUUUUGGACAAUGGGCGCAAGCCUGAUCCAGCCAUUCCGCGUGCAGGAUGAAGGCCUUCGGGUUGUAAACUGCUUUUGUACGGAACGAAAAGGCUCUGGUUAAUACCUGGGGCUCAUGACGGUACCGUAAGAAUAAGCACCGGCUAACUACGUGCCAGCAGCCGCCGUAAGAC